rnacentral:rRNA from 1 species
GACGUAGGGCGCGAGCGUUGUCCGGAUUUAUUGGGCGUAAAGAGCUCGUAGGCGGCUCGUUGCGUCAACCGUGAAAACCCGGGGCUUAACUUCGGGCUUGCGGUUGAUACGGGCGGGCUGGAGUUCGGUAGGGGAGACUGGAAUUCCUGGUGUGGCGGUGAAAUGCGCAGAUAUCAGGAGGAACACCAAUAGCGAAGGCAGCUCGCUGGGACGUUACUGACACUGAGGCGCGAAAGCGUGGGGAGCGAACAGG